GUGGGUAUAGCUCAGUGGCAGGGCUCAUAUUUAGCAUGCACGAGGUCCUGGGUUCAAUCCCCAGUAACUUCA
rnacentral:tRNA from 1 species